rnacentral:rRNA from 1 species
UGGGGAAUAUUGCACAAUGGGGGAAACCCUGAUGCAGCGACGCCGCGUGAGCGAAGAAGGCCUUCGGGUCGUAAAGCUCUUUUAUGUGGGAAGAUAAUGACGGUACCUCAAGAAAAAGCCCCGGCUAACUACGUGCCAGCAGCCGCGGUAAUACGUAGGGGGCUAGCGUUGUCCGGAAUCACUGGGCGUAAAGGGUUCGCAGGCGGAAUAACAAGUCAGAUGUGAAAGGCAUGGGCUCAACCCAUGUAAGCAUUUGAAACUGUAAUUCUUGAGAAGUGGAGAGGUAAGUGGAAUUCCUAGUGUAGCGGUGAAAUGCGUAGAUAUUAGGAGGAAUACCUGUGGCGAAGGCGACUUACUGGACAAAAAUCUGACGCUGAGGAACGAAAGCGUGGGUAGCAAACAGG